rnacentral:tRNA from 2 species
UAGACGAGUAUAUCCAACUCCAUAAACA